rnacentral:rRNA from 1 species
AGAGUUUGAUCCUGGCUCAGAGUGAACGCUGGCGGCGUGCUUAACACAUGCAAGUCGAACGAGAACGGAACUAGCUUGCUAGUUUGUCAGCUAAGUGGCGCACGGGUGAGUAAUAUAUAGUUAAUCUGCCCCAAAGAAGAGGAUAAUUGUUGGAAACGACUUGUAAUGCUCUAUAUGCCUUUAUCACAUAAGUGAGCAAGGGAAAUAUUUAUAGCUUUGGGAUGAGACUGUACGGUAUCAGAUUGUUGGUGAGGUAAUGGCUCACCAAGUCUAUGACGCCUAACUGGUUUGAGAGGAUGAUCAGUCACACUGGAACUGAGACACGGUCCAGACUCCUACGGGAGGCAGCAGUGGGGAAUAUUGCACAAUGGACGAAAGUCUGAUGCAGCAACGCCGCGUGGAGGAUGACACAUUUCGGUGCGUAAACUCCUUUUAUAUGAGAAGAUAAUGACGGUAUCAUAUGAAUAAGCACCGGCUAACUUCGUGCCAGCAGCCGCGGUAAUACGAGGGGUGCAAGCGUUACUCGGAAUCACUGGGCGUAAAGAGCAUGUAGGCUGGUAAUUAAGUUGGAAGUGAAAUCCUAUGGCUCAACCAUAGAACUGCUUCCAAAACUGAUUAUCUAGAGUAUGGGAGAGGUAGAUGGAAUUUCUGGUGUAGGGGUAAAAUCCGUAGAGAUCAGAAGGAAUACCGAUUGCGAAGGCGAUCUACUGGAACAUUACUGACGCUAAGA